CAGUAGCCACGGUAAUACGAAGGGUGCAAGCGUUAAUCGGAAUUACUGGGCGUAAAGCGUGCGUAGGUGGUGGUUUAAGUCCGUUGUGAAAGCCCUGGGCUCAACCUGGGAAUUGCAGUGGAUACUGAUCACUAGAGUGUGGUAGAGGAUAGUGGAAUUUCCGGUGUAGCAGUGAAAUGCGUAGAGAUCGGAAGGAACAUCUGUGGCGAAGGCGACUAUCUGGGCCAACACUGACACUGAGGCACGAAAGCGUGGGGAGCAAACAGGAUUAGAUACCCGGGUAGUCCCUGUCUCUUAUACA
rnacentral:rRNA from 1 species